rnacentral:rRNA from 1 species
GACGAACGCUGGCGGCGUGCCUAAUACAUGCAAGUAGGACGCAGUUGCGAACGGGUGAGUAACGCGUAGGUAACUACCUAUUAGAGGGGUAUAACUAUUGGAAACGAUAGCUAAUACCGCAUACUAGUAGAUGGACCUGCUUUGUAUUAGCUAGUGGGUAGGGUAAUGGCCUACCUAGGCAACGAUACAUAGCCGAUCUUGAAAGGUGGUCCGCCACCCCUGGACUGGGACACGGCCCCGAACCCUUCGGGAGGCAGCCGUAGGGGAACUUCGGAAAUGGGGGGAACCCCGACCGAGCAACGCCGCGGGGGUGGAGGAGGUUUUCGGGUUGUAAAGCUCUGUUGUGAAGGAAGCGGUACUUAAACAAAAAGGAACGGCUAACUCCGUGCCAGCAGCCGCGGUAAUUC